rnacentral:rRNA from 1 species
UGGGGAAUAUUGCACAAUGGGCGAAAGCCUGAUGCAGCGACGCCGCGUGAGGGAUGACGGCCUUCGGGUUGUAAACCUCUUUCAGUAGGGAAGAAGCGAAAGUGACGGUACCUGCAGAAGAAGCACCGGCUAACUACGUGCCAGCAGCCGCGGUAAUACGUAGGGUGCGAGCGUUAUCCGGAAUUAGUGGGCGUAAAGAGCUCGUAGGCGGUUUGUCGCGUCUGUCGUGAAAGUCCGGGGCUUAACCCCGGAUCUGCGGUGGGUACGGGCAGACUAGAGUGCAGUAGGGGAGACUGGAAUUCCUGGUGUAGCGGUGGAAUGCGCAGACAUCAGGAGGAACACCGAUGGCGAAGGCAGGUCUCUGGGCUGUAACUGACGCUGAGGAGCGAAAGCAUGGGGAGCGAACA